UUGAGUUGGUUCUUCUCUUAGUGUUGGUUUUUGCCGUCCCCAUGUUCUUCUUCUUAUUUUGUUGUUUUUGUUAUCUUUGUUUUCAAAGAUUAGUUUCCCAACUAUUGUUAGCUUUUCUUCUGCCCACCAGUCAGCUUCCUUCUCUUCCCCUGUGGCAUCGGACUCUCUCUCCUUCGUUGGUCUCGGUCAUGCUGGAAACUUUCGAGACUAUAAACAAGCAUUUUGUUCAUCCUUCUAGGAGAAAUUUCCCAACAAUUACAAAUGUGUGCCUGUACAGUACUCGGGACUUUAAUGGUCAAAGUUGCAAUUUGACCUUUUAUGUUUCUAAUUUCUCCAUUGCCAGCACUUUCUAACAGUUUCAUAUUGUUUCAUUGCUUGGCUUAUUCACUCAACCCAAGGCUCUCUUUCUCGUAGGCUUUUCCUUUACCCAACUGAUUUUUGUUAUAGCUUCCUCUGGUUUGUGGCAAGUAUAAUUCUUAAUCACUUA